rnacentral:rRNA from 1 species
GACGAACGCUGGCGGCGUGCUUAACACAUGCAAGUCGAACGGAAAGGCCCUGCUUUUGUGGGGUGCUCGAGUGGCGAACGGGUGAGUAACACGUGAGUAACCUGCCCUUGUCUUUGGGAUAACUUCAGGAAACUGGGGCUAAUACCCGAUAGGAGCUCCUGCUGCAUGGUGGGGGUUGGAAAGUGUCGGCGGUUGGGGAUAGACUCGCGGCUUAUCAGCUUGUUGGUGUGGUAGUUGCGUACCAAGGCUUUGACGGGUAGCCGGCCUGAGAGGGUGACCGGCGACCUUGGGACUAAGAUACGGACCAGUAUCGUACGGGAGGCAGUAGGGGGGAACAUUGCACAAUGGGCGGAAGCCUGAGGCAGCAACGCCGCGUGCGGGAUAACGGCUUUUGGGUUGUAAACCGCUUUCGCCUGUGACGAAGCGUGAGUGACGGUAAUGGGUAAAGAAGCACCGGCUAACUUCGUG